CCUACGGGAGGCUGCAGUGGGGAAUUUUGGACAAUGGGGGCAACCCUGAUCCAGCCAUUCCGCGUGAGUGAAGAAGGCCUUCGGGUUGUAAAGCUCUUUUGUUGGGGACGAAACGGUUACGGUUAAUACCCGUGACAACUGACGGUACCCGAAGAAUAAGCACCGGCUAACUACGUGCCAGCAGCCGCGGUAAUACGUAGGGUGCGAGCGUUAAUCGGAAUUACUGGGCGUAAAGCGUGCGCAGGCGGUUUUGUAAGCCAGAUGUGAAAUCCCCGGGCUUAACCUGGGAAUGGCAUUUGGGACUGCAAGGCUAGAGUAUGGCAGAGGAGACUAGAAUUUCUGGUGUAGCAGUGAAAUGCGUAGAUAUCAGAAGGAAUACCGAUGGCGAAGGCAGGUCUCUGGGUCAAUACUGACGCUCAUGCACGAAAGCGUGGGGAGCAAACAGGAUUAGAUACCCCUGUAGUC
rnacentral:rRNA from 1 species